AUAUACACAGUUUCAUCAAUAUUACACAGUUUCAUCCAUAGGUAGCAAGUUUCACAAAGUAAAAACAAAAACUAAAGACAAGCACUCCAUAUCUGAAAUUACAAGAAAUGACCUAAAACUAAAUAUCUAUUUUCCUAGGCAGCACACACUUGACCACCAUAGCAGCUUGCCGGACCGUUGUAUCUGUGGAGCACAAAACAGUAGUCAGCCUGAUUAGAAAUUUUAAGGAGAGCAGUGCUAGUUUAAGAGUUAUGAACAGAUAGAAAUGGUGCAUAAAUUCCUAUUAUUCAACAAACAUAAGUUAUUUCCAAGUGAAACACGGGGCAAUGUUAUCCACUUCAAAACAGAACAGAACACACAGGUACACACAUCGUCAAGUUUUUUCCACAAAUGAGUUACUGAUUGAGUUCAAGAAAUGACCAAGGGCCUAAUUGGUUCACAGGACCUAAAAACUCAUAAAUAGGAAAAUCACUGGGUUGCAAUGUCAUGCCCUCUCUUCAUACAAUAUGAUCGACAGGAUAUUACAAUCAUAUGGAAUAAUUUGAAGCUGUGUGGGAAAAGAGAAUACCAUUCACCGCAAUGAAAAAUAUAGCAUGCCGGAAUCACUAUUCUAGAGCACAUAUCCGUACCAAAAUAUUUAUAGUGUUUCCAACUCUUCUAAGCAUGUGAGAACACUAUGAGAACAAUCAAAUUGAGUUAUCUAAGCAAUUUGACAAUCAAAUGGAGUUAACACGGGCCCAAGCGUUAGGGAUUUAGUGACGGCAGCAGUCUGCCAGCCGGCUUCCUCAAUAGAAGGGACAGACCCAGUGCUAGAAGCAGAACAAGAACAUUGAUACACAAGAUAAGCACAAGCCCUUGAGAGCAGUCUGCUUGGCAGAACAAUUAAUUAACCUCUAGAAGCAGAAGAAGCACGUUGAUAGACCAGUUAUUAUGAAGAACCAACCUUGAGAGCGGUCUGCUUGCGCAAGAUAUCAUUGGACUUGAACAUGACUGCGGCAAUCUAGGUCAUGACGAAGAAACCUAC
rnacentral:lncRNA from 1 species